rnacentral:rRNA from 1 species
AUUGAACGCUGGCGGCAUGCCUUACACAUGCAAGUCGAACGGCAGCACGGGGCAACCUGGUGGCGAGUGGCGAACGGGUGAGUAAUGCAUCGGAACGUGCCAUUGAGUGGGGGAUAACGUAGCGAAAGUUGCGCUAAUACCGCAUAUUCUGUGAGCAGGAAAGCAGGGGACCGCAAGGCCUUGCGCUCUUUGAGCGGCCGAUGUCGGAUUAGCUAGUUGGUGAGGUAACGGCUUACCAAGGCGACGAUCUGUAGCGGGUCUGAGAGGAUGAUCCGCCACACUGGAACUGAGACACGGUCCAGACUCCUACGGGAGGCAGCAGUGGGGAAUUUUGGACAAUGGGCGCAAGCCUGAUCCAGCCAUGCCGCGUGAGUGAAGAAGGCCUCGGUUGUAAG